UAAGCCGUUGAAGGUGUGUCGUGAGGCAUGCUGGAGGUAUCAGAAGUGCGAAUGCUGACAUAAGUAACGAUAAAGCGGGUGAAAAGCCCGCUCGCCGGAAGACCAAGGGUUCCUGUCCAACGUUAAUCGGGGCAGGGUGAGUCGACCCCUAAGGCGAGGCCGAAAGGCGUAGUCGAUGGGAAACGGGUUAAUAUUCCCGUACUUGGUGUUACUGCGAAGGGGGGACGGAGAAGGCUAUGUUGGCCGGGCGACGGUUGUCCCGGUUUAAGCGUGUAGGUGUGUGUUCCAGGUAAAUCCGGUUCACUUUAACACUGAGGCGUGAUGACGAGGCACUACGGUGCUGAAGCAACAAAUGCCCUGCUUCCAGGAAAAGCCUCUAAGCCUCAGGUAACAUCAAAUCGUACCCCAAACCGACACAGGUGGUCAGGUAGAGAAUACCAAGGCGCUUGAGAGAACUCGGGUGAAGGAACUAGGCAAAAUGGUGCCGUAACUUCGGGAGAAGGCACGCUGACACGUAGGUGAAGUGGUUUACCCAUGGAGCUGAAGUCAGUCGAAGAUACCAGCUGGCUGCAACUGUUUAUUAAAAACACAGCACUGUGCAAACACGAAAGUGGACGUAUACGGUGUGACGCCUGCCCGGUGCCGGAAGGUUAAUUGAUGGGGUCAGCGCAAGCGAAGCUCCUGAUCGAAGCCCCGGUAAACGGCGGCCGUAACUAUAACGGUCCUAAGGUAGCGAAAUUCCUUGUCGGGUAAGUUCCGACCUGCACGAAUGGCGUAAUGAUGGCCAGGCUGUCUCCACCCGGGACUCAGUGAAAUUGAACUCGCUGUGAAGAUGCAGUGUACCCGCGGCAAGACGGAAAGACCCCGUGAACCUUUACUAUAGCUUGACACUGAACACUGGUCCUUGAUGUGCAGGAUAGGUGGGAGGCUUUGAAGUGUGGACGCCAGUCUGCAUGGAGCCAUCCUUGAAAUACCACCCUUUAAUGGCUGGUGUUCUAACGUGGGCCCGUGAACCGGGUUGCGGACAGUGUCUGGUGGGUAGUUUGACUGGGGCGGUCUCCUCCUAAAGAGUAACGGAGGAGCACGAAGGUUGGCUAAUCCUGGUCGGACAUCAGGAGGUUAGUGCAAUGGCAUAAGCCAGCUUGACUGCGAGCGUGACGGCGCGAGCAGGUGCGAAAGCAGGUCAUAGUGAUCCGGUGGUUCUGAAUGGAAGGGCCAUCGCUCAACGGAUAAAAGGUACUCCGGGGAUAACAGGCUGAUACCGCCCAAGAGUUCAUAUCGACGGCGGUGUUUGGCACCUCGAUGUCGGCUCAUCACAUCCUGGGGCUGAAGUAGGUCCCAAGGGUAUGGCUGUUCGCCAUUUAAAGUGGUACGCGAGCUGGGUUUAGAACGUCGUGAGACAGUUCGGUCCCUAUCUGCCGUGGGCGCUGGAAGAUUGAGGGGGGCUGCUCCUAGUACGAGAGGACCGGAGUGGACGCAUCACUGGUGUUCGGGUUGUCAUGCCAAUGGCACUGCCCGGUAGCUACAUGCGGAAGAGAUAAGUGCUGAAAGCAUCUAAGCACGAAACUUGCCCCGAGAUGAAUCUUCCCUGAGCCUUUAAGGCUCCUGAAGGAACGUUGAAGACGACGACGUUGAUAGGCCGGGUGUGUAAGCGCAGCGAUGCGUUGAGCUAACCGGUACUAAUGAACCGUGAGGCUUAACCUUACAACGCCGAAG
rnacentral:rRNA from 1 species